GAGGACGGCGGAAUGAGUUGUGUAGCGGUGAAAUGCAUAGAUAUAACUCAGAACACCUAUUGCGUAGGCAGCUGUCUAUACUACAACUGACGCUGAGGCACGAAAGCGUGGGGAGCGAACAGGAUUAGAUACCCUGGUAGUCCACGCUGUAAACGAUGAUCACUCGUUGUUGGCUACUUAGUAGUCAGUGACCAAGGGAAACCGAUAAGUGAUCCACCUGGGGAGUACGUCGGCAACGAUGAAACUCAAAGGAAUUGACGGGGGCCCGCACAAGCGGAGGAACAUGUGGUUUAAUUCGAUGAUACGCGAGGAACCUUACCUGGGCUUAAAUGCUGGCUGCAUUGGAGGGAAACCUUCAUUUCCUACGGGACCGCCAGCAAGGUGCUGCAUGGUUGUCGUCAGCUCGUGCCGUGAGGUGUCGGGUUAAGUCCCAUAACGAGCGCAACCCCUAUCGCUAGUUGCCAGCAUGUAAUGGUGGGGACUCUAGCGAGACUGCCGGUGUAAACCGGAGGAAGGUGGGGAUGACGUCAAAUCAGCACGGCCCUUACGUCCAGGGCUACACACGUGUUACAAUGGCCGGUACAAAGAGCAGCCACCUGGCGACAGGGCGCUAAUCUCUAAAACCGGUCUCAGUUCGGAUCGAAGUCUGCAAUUCGACUUCGUGAAGGUGGAUUCGCUAGUAAUCGCGCAUCAGCCAUGGCGCGGUGAAUAAGUUCCCGGGCCUUGUACACACCGCCCGUCAAGCCAUGGAAGUCGGGGGUACCUGAAGUCCGUAACCGA
rnacentral:rRNA from 1 species